UACAGAGGUCCCAAGCGUUGUUCGGAUUCAUUGGGCGUAAAGGGUGCGUAGGCGGCGCGGUAAGGCGGGUGUGAAAUCUCGGGGCUUAACUCCGAAACUGCAUUCGAUACUGCCGUGCUUGAGGACUGGAGAGGAGACUGGAAUUUACGGUGUAGCGGUGAAAUGCGUAGAUAUCGUAAGGAAGACCAGUGGCGAAGGCGGGUCUCUGGACAGUUCCUGACGCUGAGGCACGAAGGCCAGGGGAGCAAACGGG
rnacentral:rRNA from 1 species